rnacentral:rRNA from 1 species
UACGGAGGGUGCAAGCGUUGUCCGGAUUUAUUGGGUUUAAAGGGUGCGUAGGCGGCUAAUUAAGUCAGCGGUGAAAUUCCACAGCUCAACUGUGGAACUGCCAUUGAUACUGGUUGGCUUGAGUACAGAUGAGGUAGGCGGAAUUGACAGUGUAGCGGUGAAAUGCUUAGAUAUUGUCAAGAACACCUAUUGCGAAGGCAGCUUACUAAGCUGUAGCUGACGCUGAGGCACGAAAGCGUGGGGAUCAAACAGG